AGGUUGUCCGGUUCGUUCCGGACUGAAAAUGGAACGGGGUGUGAAUCCCCGACAGUACCCGCUGCUGUGAUUUCCGCUAAACCGUCGGAAUAAUGCCACUGGCUCUGAGCCGGGAAGGCUCCGACGGUUGGAAUAAGUCAGAAGACAUGCCUUUCGA
rnacentral:ncRNA from 1 species